rnacentral:rRNA from 1 species
GGAAUUUUGGACAAUGGGGGCAACCCUGAUCCAGCAAUGCCGCGUGUGUGAAGAAGGCCUUCGGGUUGUAAAGCACUUUUGGCGGGAACGAAACGGUGGGGGCUAAUAUCCUCUGCUAAUGACGGUACCCGCAGAAUAAGCACCGGCUAACUACGUGCCAGCAGCCGCGGUAAUACGUAGGGUGCAAGCGUUAAUCGGAAUUACUGGGCGUAAAGCGUGCGCAGGCGGUUGUGCAAGACAGAUGUGAAAUCCCUGGGCUCAACCUAGGAAUUGCAUUUGUGACUGCACGGCUAGAGUGUGUCAGAGGGGGGUAGAAUUCCACGUGUAGCAGUGAAAUGCGUAGAUAUGUGGAGGAAUACCGAUGGCGAAGGCAGCCCCCUGGGAUAACACUGACGCUCAUGCACGAAAGCGUGGGGAGCAAACAGGAUUAGAUACCCUGGUAGUCCACGCCCUAAACGAUGUCUACUAGUUGUCGGGUCUUAAUUGACUUGGUAACGCAGCUAACGCGUGAAGUAGACCGCCUGGGGAGUACGGUCGCAAGAUUAAAACUCAAAUGAAUUGACGG